rnacentral:rRNA from 1 species
UACGAAGGGGGCUAGCGUUGUUCGGAAUUACUGGGCGUAAAGCGCGCGCAGGCGGUUUCUCAAGUCAGUGGUGAAAGCCCGGAGCUCAACUCCAGAACUGCCUUUGAUACUGAGGAUCUUGAGUUCGGGAGAGGUGAGUGGAACUGCGAGUGUAGAGGUGAAAUUCGUAGAUAUUCGCAAGAACACCAGUGGCGAAGGCGGCUCACUGGCCCGAUACUGACGCUGAGGCACGAAAGCGUGGGGAGCAAACAGG